CCAAUAGCGUAUAUUAAAGUUGUUGCAGUUAAAAAGCUCGUAGUUGAAUUUCGGGGUUAGUAGGUCGGUCAUGCCUCAGGUAUGCACUGGUCUCACUGACUCCUCCUUCCUGAUGAGCCGUAAUGCCAUUAAUUUGGUGUUGCGGGGAAUCUGGACUGUUACUUUGAAAAAAUUAGAGUGUUUAAAGCAGGCUAACGCUUGAAUACAUUAGCAUGGAAUAAUGGAAUAGGACGUUCGAUCCUAUUUUGUUGGUUUCUAGGAUUGACGUAAUGAUUAAUAGGGAUAGUUGGGGGCAUUAGUAUUCAAUUGUCAGAGGUGAAAUUCUUGGAUUUAUUGAAGACUAACUACUGCGAAAGCAUUUGCCAAGGAUGUUUUCAUUAAUCAAGAACGAAAGUUAGGGGAUCGAAGACGAUCAGAUACCGUCGUAGUCUUAACCAUAAACUAUGCCGACUAGGGAUCGGAUGAUGUUAAUUUUUUAAUGACUCAUUCGGCGCCUUACG
rnacentral:rRNA from 1 species